GACGAACGCUGGCGGCGUGCCUAAUACAUGCAAGUAGAACGCUGAAGGAGGAGCUUGCUUCUCCGGAUGAGUUGCGAACGGGUGAGUAACGCGUAGGUAACCUGCCUGGUAGCGGGGGAUAACUAUUGGAAACGAUAGCUAAUACCGCAUAACAGUAGAUGUUGCAUGACAUUUGCUUAAAAGUUGCAAUUGCAUCACUACCAUAUGGACCUGCGUUGUAUUAGCUAGUUGGUGAGGUAACGGCUCACCAAGGCGACGAUACAUAGCCGACCUGAGAGGGUGAUCGGCCAAACUGGGACUGAGACACGGCCCAGACUCCUACGGGAGGCAGCAGUAGGGAAUCUUCGGAAAUGGACGGAAGUCUGACCGAGCAAAGCCGCGUGAGUGAAGAAGGUUUUCGGAUCGUAAAGCUCUGUUGUAAGAGAAGAACGAGUGUGAGAGUGGAAAGUUCACACUGUGACGGUAUCUUACCAGAAAGGGACGGCUAACUACGUG
rnacentral:rRNA from 1 species